rnacentral:lncRNA from 1 species
CAGCAGUCACGCCCGCACAUCACGCCGCCCUCCCAUCUACACAUCGCGCAGCCCCACCCCUCUCCACGCGCCGCCCCCGAUCUUCGCCGGGCGCCCACCUCCGCGCCGCUACAUCACCAUCGCCCGGAGUUGCCAGGGUCAUCGUCCUCCGAUCUCCUUCGCCCGAGCCGAUCUCUCCACCGAUUUGCUCCGCCCGUGCCGAUCUCUCCCGUCCGCGUCGGCAGUGACGGCCGCCUCGCCGAUCUCCUCCGUGCCACCGUCGGUACUCCCUCACCAAUCUGCUCCGCCCGCGCCAAUCUCUCCCAUCCGCGUCGCCAGCGAGGGCCACCCCACCAAUCUCCUCCGUGCCACCUCUGGAACACCCGCGCCCGCGUCGCCGACGACCUAGAAGAAAAAAAAAGUUCAGAUUGUCGAAGCAAAGCUGACUGGACACCAUGCCAAUUGCUAUUGUUUACUGCACAAUCAAGGAGAUUUUUGACUGAUUCUACUAAAUUUCUGUUUGGUAAAGGUAAUUUCCUUCCAUCAUGA